CCCCCGAUAUCCCCCACCACCCAGGAGACCAGCUACACCCUCAUCCUCAACCAGGGUAAACCCCUGAUAUCCCCCACCACCCAGGAGACCAGCUUCACCCACACCAAACCAAAGAAGACGGGGAGAAAGUCCUGUCUCCCUGUCACCCUCAAAAAACCCUCCAACUCGCAGAGCAUGACACAGUCAACCCCAUCCAACCCCAUCAUACCCCGACCAAGGAAGAGGAAAUAUGACAUGCAAAAAGAGUGUCCAGUGUAUCCGGGGCAAACGACUUUCCCUAUUCUCAAGAUUCUUGCCAAUAGACCUUCAAAGGAGGGUCAGGAGCAGAAAGUGAGGUGGAAGCCAUGCUCUGGAUGGUAUGUUUACUUCAACUAAUCUCCUAGAAUGUAUUGAGGA